rnacentral:rRNA from 1 species
ACUUAAGCAUAUCAAUAAGCGGAGGAAAAGAAACCAACAGGGAUUGCCUUAGUAACGGCGAGUGAAGCGGCAGCAGCUCAAAUUUGAAAUCUGGCUCCUUUGGGGCCCGAGUUGUAAUUUGUAGAGGAUGUUUCGGCGUGGUCCCAGGUCUAAGUUCCUUGGAACAGGACGUCACAGAGGGUGAGAAUCCCGUACGUGGCCGUGGGUACCCGCCAUGUGAAGCUCCUUCGACGAGUCGAGUUGUUUGGGAAUGCAGCUCUAAAUGGGAGGUAAAUUUCUUCUAAAGCUAAAUACUGGCCAGAGACCGAUAGCGCACAAGUAGAGUGAUCGAAAGAUGAAAAGCACUUUGGAAAGAGAGUCAAAAAGUACGUGAAAUUGUUGAAAGGGAAGCGCUUGCAACCAGACCUGCCUGCGGUUGCUCAUCCGGGCUCUUGCCCGGUGCACUCUUCCGCAGUCAGGCCAGCAUCAGUUCUGGCGGUCGGAUAAAGGCGGCGGGAAUGUGGCUCCCCUCGGGGAGUGUUAUAGCCCGUCGUGUAAUGCGGCCAGCCGGGACUGAGGUCCGCGCUUCGGCUAGGAUGCUGGCGUAAUGGUUGUAAGCGGCCCGUCUUGA